AUGGUGGGAGAGGAGGCCGCAUGUCCGUGGAGCUGGGAGCCCAGGAGCCUCCAGACCCAGAGAAGAGGGGAAACGGCUUGUCCCUUGACGCUCCGGGAGGAAGGCAGGAACCUGUUACUAAAUUCCGGACAAAGGAGAACCCCGUGAAAUGAUGAUUUUUCCUGCACUACUCAUGGAUCGCUCUCCUCCCUGAGAGCCUCAUCAGCUGAUGGGGGGCAUCGGGGGCCUGCCGUUCCCCUACUCCUUCCAGAUAACCCAGUGCUUUCUGGAAUGCUCUGUGGUUCCAACAUCCACAUCUCUGAGGGAUGAAACAACGUUUCCUGACUUAUCACAUGCCUUCGUGGGAGGGUUCAGCCUGCUUGCAUUCAUCUUGCUCUGGGUGGUAACGGUAAAGCUUGGUCAUUGCCCCUGCCCUACUCUUUCCUAUUUCUGCUAUCAACGUAGUGACUUCCAACAACGUGGGUUGAUGAAGUCGGUUCUGUGGUCCAGAAGUCUGCGGGGGGAGGGGGUUCUGCUUGCUCUGAAUCGCCGGCCUGGGCUCUUACCUGGAGGCUCUGGUUCAGGUAAUUAGCAGAUGUCAAUUCUGUGGGGCUGGGGUCCCCGUUUCCCCGUUGGCUGCCUGCCAGGUAAUGUUUGUUCGUCUUUAGAUCCGUGAGGGCCUGUUGUGUCCCCCUCGUGCCGCACACCCGACUUCCCUCUCCUGCUCGGAGCUGGAGGAAGUUCUCUGCCUUCAAGGGCUCACGCGGUUACACUGAUCGCCUGUGGGUAAUCAGCUACUCUCCCCAUCUCGAGGUCUGGACCAUUCUAUCCACCAAGCCUUUUUUCCAUGUAACACAGCUAUUCACAGGUUCUGAGGAGUAGAGAAUGGGCGCUUUUGGGGGGGAGUUGGGGGUAUUCUGCCUCUCAAGCUCCCCAAAUAGCCCAAUAUAUAUAUGUAAAAACCAGUUCUGAUCAGCUACACCUGCACCCUGUCCCCCGGUGCCGGGGGAAAGUUGGGGGCCCCCUGCACUGCCCACUUUCCUUCAUGUGGCACAUUCCCCAUGUGGACACCAUAGUCUUCCUCUCUGGGAGGAUCUCCAGGCUCCUUAUCUACUUCCUAAAGGGAGGAGGACAGACUAACCGUGGACUUCUCGGCUUUUUUCUGGAGACAGCGGUGUAUAAAUGUCCCAAUAUCUUGUGGAUUGCUCUGCACAUGGAGGUCUCUCAUGGAUGUGGUUCUCCACCUGGGGGUGUGUUACAAGGAGAGGGGUGCUUAGACCCCUGUCUGCCUCCCCUCAGAGGUGGUUGACGAUCUCUGCAGGUGGAACCUGGGGCUUCCAAAGAAGUCCAAGCUUUGCCUGGUGGUCCUUAGGGCUCCAGACCGCUGUCCAACGGUGUGUCCGUUUGCUCCUGAAGGUACACGUCUUCCCGGUGGUGAAGGAGAUGCCUUGCAGCGUGCUGCCUGGUGCUGGGUUCCAACCCGGUCGUAGUCGGGAACCCGGAACUGUGUGGGGAAACGGCAUAAAAUACAAGGAACACACUGGGGCAGAAAGAAGGUGCUGGAUGUGGAUAAUCAAAUCACAGACAUCGUUGCUCAGUUGUUACUUGGCAGCUUUUUCCAAAAUAAUCUUACGAUAUUUGGUGAACGAAAACCCCUCGAAUCAAAAUGUCAAAGAUUUUCGUCGUGCACAGGAUGCUUAUGGUACGAUUUUAGGGGGAAAGAAGAGCACAGGGCUUCUACUCAGAGUGAACGUGAGAGAACUAACAGGAACUAACCAGAGAAUUUACACUUGUGAAUCGCAGCGGUCUCCGAAGGUAAGCGCUCGGGAUGCUGUAUCUCCUUCUAUAUUCCAGUCCUUCCAGACACAGUGGGAUAUUAUUUUCUAACAUAUGUGACUUGCUUGUUUUUUUGUUGUUGUUUUUUGGUUUUUUUUUUAAACACAGAGAACUCAGUGUCCUUCAUUUCAGGGUUUAACGGAGCUCCCCUCCCAGGGUAGAUGCUGAGCAGAGGGAUGCUUGGCUGGCAGAAAAUCCCCAUACACCUCAGCAGGUGUUUCUUUCCUGCCUUCUAAGAAUCCACUUUUCUUGCUCUGAGGACCCAGCUUUUCUGUCUAAUGACAGAGGGGAAUUAGGCAAAGGUGUGCCACAGCCCCCAUGACUCCAAGUCCUUUUUCCUCAAGAGAAAAGGUAUUAAACACAGCACUGGUGUGUACACAAAUCACGAAUUUCAGCCGCUGAAGCCUGUGGGGUUGGGCAGCCUCCACUUCCUGGAAGGGCCAACUAGGGCUCACUGAUGUGUCUUAGGGGGUCAGGAGCCUUCCCAACUCCGGGUCUUGUUCAUCUUAUUUUUUUGGUCAACUAUUAACCAUGUGUCUCCCAUACCAACCUUUUUCUCUUUAUGGUGCAAACUUAGGUCUGUGUUGUGUAGUAAGAUUUGCUGUUGUCACGUGCUGGACAUUUGAUCCCCAGACUUGGAAGUUUUCUCCCUUUGGUAUCUCCCCAUUUCCCCUCAUAACCACCAUUCAAUUAUUUCUAUGAGUGCCAACCUCUUUAUCCAUUCAUCUGGUGAUGGGCAUUUAGAUGGUUUCCACAUCUUGGCCGUUGUAGGCAAUGGUGCCGUGAACGUGGGGGUGCAGACUUGAGGGAAACAGAAAAGUGUUGUUCGGCCAUUUUGUUGACUUAAACAUUCAACUGUUAAACUUGUUCAAGCACACUGAGUGUUCAGUUAUGAACACUCCUAGUAAAAGAGUAAUUGUUUUUGAGAUGAUUAGCAAGGGAAUUUCAGUACAUGAGAAAGCUAUCUUUAGCUCAUUUUCUCUUAUCUGGCAAUGCCAAUGUCUGUGCUUACUAAUGAAUAAUCUAUUUCAAAGAAAAUAGAUCAAGACUCUCCUAUAAUGAGAAGUUCUGAAGACUCCCAAAAGGAACAAAAUGAAAUACUGAGUCUAGCUUACUGUAUCCUUCCCCACAUCCACACCCAGCCACAGAUCCACACAUCUUGUCAUAUGUGUUUGAAGUUGCAUUGGAAGGGGAUAAACUGAAUUACUUCUUGUUGAUCCAAAGGACUUGUGGCAUGAAUUAUGCAUCAUGCAUGUAAGCUAUGAAAGCGAAAAGUACAAAUAAGUAAAUGUCACUUUUGGGUUUUCCUCAAAGAGCACUCUGAUGAGCAGCAUACUAUGGGCAUAAGUACUGUGACUUUUAAAUGUCAAAGAAUGCAAAAAUGACCCUCUGUACAUACAAAUUUCUCUUCCCCUCCCUCUCCAGGGUCCCCAUGCAAUAUUCGUGAAGAUUAGCAUCUGUGAAUUAAUUUAGAAAGUUCAAUAAUUUUGUCCCAUGAGGUCUAAACGUGAGUAAUCCAUUUGUGGCAAUGACUUAGGAACUAAAUCACAACCCACUAGCAUUGCAGAAAACGGUAGCGUGUUCACUACAUGUACGAUGGAUCAUCAGUAACCACCAAAAUAAACUGACUUGAUGCAACCCAUACUUAAAUGUGAUUUCCAAGUCCUUGGUUUUGCUGGGGAUACUGGAAUGAAAAAAGUCCCAAUAUUUGGAAGGUGUUUAUUAUCAUUGACUUAGUCACCAAAACAUCAUGUCACGACUUCUCUAUUUUCCCUAAGAAAAUGGUACAGGCAGGCGAGAUAGCUGGUGUAUUUCACUGGGAAGAUUUGAAAGAUUCAGAGUGAAACCUAUCCCUGCCAAAGAGAUGACAAUGUCCCAAACCAAGAAGUGCCUGAGAACCUGGCUGUGGACAAGGGGUGAUUCUCGUGCUGAAGGCCUUUGUAAGGAAUCCUAUGUAACUAGACAUCUGUAAUGGCGGGGAUGAGGCCAUGGCCAUCUGGACAUGAGCCCCAAAGUCCGUACUGCCCUUUGCUCUUCCUGUCUGCUUGUGUGACACAGGCAAGGGACAACGGGAGGCAUAAAACCACGUUUUCCCCAUGUAGCUCUGCCACCAUUUCUUACAAACCCAUCGCUGAUCUUGCUUUCUGGCUGGGGGUUGGGGGGAAGGAAUGGCGAGGCAGACUGUGUUUUGGGGGAAGUGUUGGUCUGUGUUUUCUUAAUCCUGUGCUUCUCAACCAUGGUGAUCUUCGCAUCUCCCCAUGAGUCCCAGCCCUGCCUUUUUACAGUGCCCCUUUUGGUGCUUCCUGGCUCACCACUGUCCCCUGAAGCCCUCUGAUACUUUCAGUCUAUACUACAUUUUAACAAUCUAGUAUGCCCAUUGCUUGCUCAGGGUGAGUCCUCUUUUCCCAGUGAGGUUACCACGGACUUGAGCGGAGGAAACCUUUCUUCUGUCCCUGGUCUGUCUUCACCAGCUGAGUGUGUGUUCCCAUGUCAGGAACAUGUUCUGCUUGAAAUCUGAUAACGCUAAUCAGACCCCUGGGAGGGUGGCUUUAAUCGCCUGAGACGGAUCUGAUAAGCCUGUCUAGACAGGCAGUGCUCUCAGAACUGCUGAACGUGCUGAGAGCCAGAACGUUCACCCAGGGGUGAGUGAUGGGGUGUGGACAAAGCCUACAAUCCCUUCGGACCAAUGCGCCAUGACCCUGUGGGCUCCUUAUGAGCAAAGGGGUUCACCUCAGCCGAGGUCUGAGUGAGGAGUAUACUGGUAUGACAAUCUAAUGGAACCGUUAAAUGCCAGACCACUAGUGACACCAGUUGUGAAAUGUAUGCUACAGGGUCUUAGUGUUUGAGCUGACCAAAAACUUAAGUUAUUGAGAGAAAGUACAAGUGGUAGAAAAGUGCACUUUGGCAGAUGUCUGGCAGGGUUGCAGGGGUUGGCCAGUGAAGCUCAGAAAUCUGGGUUUAGGGAGAAGAGCUUUGCACAUGGCCUUGAGAUCUAGGACCUUGGCUGGGGAUGCACGUGCUGACUUUGCGCUUUCUGGGUCAACGCACAUGGGCUCUUCCCUCCUUCCCUCAGGAUGAAUCAAUGACGUUCAUUUCUCCCUCCUCUUUGUCCCACCAGUCCCCUGCCUGAAAUCUCUCUCCUUUUGGAGGGGAUCUUAAUGUUUUUGUAGUUUAUCCAUGGGAGUCCGCUUGUUUAGUGUAUGGCUCUGUUUGACCUACAUAUAUGGUUACGUAACCACUACCACAAUCAAACAGAAAAGUCCCAUCACUCUUCCCACAUUCCCUCACCACCUACUCCACCCCUAGCCCGUAGCUUCUUUGUGUCCUUAGAAGUUGAACCUGAGCCCAGAGAGUAACGGGAAUGAAAUUCUACACUGUGGAGACUUGAGUCUAGCUUUAGUCAAGGGGUUUGGUCUGAUUUUUGUGGGUCUUUCUGUUGACAAGGAAUAGUCCGCUGUCUGAACACUGCACCCUUGUUCAUUUAGCAAAGAACACCUGAUGGUUUCUGGUCCUCUGGGGUAUUGUUGGGCUACAGGGCAGGUGCUUGCUAAACCUUUAGGACAUUGACAAAUCAUUUUCCAAAGCGGGCAUGCUGUCUUGCACACACACCAGCAAUGUAGGGCUGUUUCAGUGACCCUGUGCCUUCCUAUGCGCUUUCUUUUUUUAACAACACAAACUUCUGGGUGUGUGGUAUUGUCUCAUGGUUUUACUUCUUUUCCUGAUGCCUAAUGUUAACGUUUUUCCUGUACUGUUUGCAGCUUCCCUACUUAAAGCCCAAACAGUUUGCCCUUUUUAUUGGGAAGUUUGUUUUCUUCUUGAGUUUUGAGAGUUCUUAAUAGACUAGAUACAAACCCUUCUUCAAUUUUGCUUCUGUUUUCCUCCACUUGGAGGCCUGUUUAUGCUCUGAACGGUGUAACUUGCGGAACUCAAGUUCUUAGUAGGGAAUUUAGCAAAUGAGUCCUGGUUUUGGUGUAUCUUCUCUAAGACAUCUUUACCAAACUCGGGUCAAAAAGAUUUUAGAUUUCUCUUUUCUGUUUGGGUGACUAAACAAUAAAGAUCUAAAAACCAUAAGGUUUUACAAGAUCAUCCUGUGUUCAGUGUGUGUCACCUGUAUUUCAUUCUCCCCGGAGCUUGGUUGAGGGUUGUUCCUGAUUGGGGCUCAAAGCAAGCCUGUCAGGUAGCAGGUAAGUUACAGCUCCGUGUUUGCCCAUAACGUGGCCUGGUGGGAAACUCCACGUUUUCCCUUUCCUACAUCAGUAAACAAGAGUGAGUGGCUGCCCCCAGACGUUUCUACAGACUUCCGUCAUUGCAGUGAAUAACAUUUAGCACCUAUCUGGACCUACAGUUUCUUUUCAGAAUCCCAGUAGUAAAGAGACCUAAAAUUUGCAGAACUGUUUACAGAGAAUAAAGCCUGUCACCAAAUGAAGACGGUUAGAGGGACCUAUUUUAGGGGACCUCCCAUUCCCAGAUGUCUGAAGAUGUAGAUUGUGACCGACACAUGAUGAUACGUUUGGUCUCAGGGUUGCACUAACCGGGAUGACAGAAACCACUCCGUGCAAAUACUUAAACCAGCUUCUAACUACUGCUUGGGAUGUACUAUAAAUAACUUUUUCCAACAUUUUAAUUAUUUUGGGAAUUUCACAAUUGGGGACUAUCUUAUUUUUCUAUCACAAGAGCUUGUUAAAUAUAAACAUUCAAUGUCCUACUUUUUGCAACUCUGGCUAUCGUUCCUCUCUUGUUCCAGGAUCCUGGGGGUGCAAGGCACUCGGUUUGGUGUAUGUCUGUUUAAAAAUAGUGGUAUUUUUGCUUCCCAUUUGUUCCAAUAUUUAGACACAUCCAUCAGUAACAAGACUAAAGCAAAAAUCUUCUUUGAAAGAGGGGCAUUUUGGUAUUGUGCUCUCAGGUGAUCCAGUUAAAUGGAAACUAGAACUAUCUGCAGGUUUCUGCAUCUGCUUCACCCCUUACACGUCUCUGGCCUGGACAGGUCGAGUGAUCACGUCCAUCCUGCAUGCAAGGCCCAGUUCCACCAACCCUGCUCACAUAGCGUGACAGAGUUUUAGAGCCAUGUUUCUUUCGCUUUAUUUAACCUUAUGACUAUUUCCCGAGAGCUUGCCAGGAGGGUCUUUGAGAUCUGUGUGUAUUUCUUUGUCCUACGACACACCAGCUCUUUCCUGGGCUCUGUCCACCAAGCCCCAGGCUACUGGUAAGUGGAUUGACCCAGACCCCACCCUUGAGCAACCAGGGGUUUGGAGAUUAUACAGUGGUGAUGCUCCGUGUUGACUUCCACAUCUCUUGGUGUGCCUCUGUCCCGAUCUGAGCACAGAGCUUGAUGUCCAUUUUCUUGCCCUCGGGGCUCUGUGCAAGGCUUGGCAGACUGAGGGUGCCCAACGAAAAGAAAUGGAUGAACCCACCCAUGCCCACUGUUUACAAGAUGUGCGACUUGGGUGAUUUUGUCCAAUCUCCUGGUGAUUUUCACCCCUUAAAAAUCAGAGAUGUGGGGCGCCUGGGUGGCUCAGUCGGUUGAGGGACUUCGGCUCAGGUCAUGAUCUCACAGUUGGUGGGUUUGAGCCCUGUGUCAGGCUCUGUGCCAACAGCUCAGAGCCUGGAGCCUGCUUCGGAUUCUGUUUCUCCCUCUCUCUGACCCUCCCCCUCUCGUGCUCUGUCUUGCUCUCAAAUACUAAAAAAUGAGGGAUGAAUGUGGAUCAUUUAGUGUGUUGGGGAGGAUUGACAGCAUUGGAAAUAGCAGGGCCGAGGUCUUGUUGAUGUUUGUGAUGCCUGUGCCCAUGUGAACCAUAUUCCCGGCAAUGAGAACUGUCCCCCCACCCAACCUGGGAAGAUCAUUGGUAGCCCAGGGCUUUGUGACUCUGCUAUACCAGUCAGGAUUCAUUUCAUCAAAAAGAGAACACAAAUAGAUUAUAAGAACUUAAAAACAGGAGGUUUGGAGUCAGAUGCUGACUCCUUGUUCAGUGCACAGAGCUGUUUACCUCCCAUGUGAGAUCUGAAGUUCAGGGAUUAGGAAGAGGUAGCUUCUGGUUCCAAGGUCCUUCAUCUUGAAGUUACAGGGUUUUGUGUCGGGUACAGCAUUCAAAGUACUUAACGCCUGCCCUGGCCUGGCUCCAGUUAGAAUGGUGCCAGCCGAGGAGGAUGGUGUCUGUCCACUGCAGGGUGGCUGCACACGUGUUUUGGUGGCGUUAUGCCUUUGGCUGCUGGAGAAAGGUCUCGUGGACCUUCUGGUUCUCACCAUCUCCCUCUGUGCAGAACCACUUGGUACAAAUAAUUCACAAGCAGGUGCCCUUUGUAAUCUGCAGGUAAGCAAGCAAAUAAGACUGUCAACUCUGUAUAACUCAGAAUUCGUGUACAGGGUUUUUUCCAGAACCAGGCUAGAUGGUCUCCAGCCUGGUCCCGUGGGUAGCGGACAUUUGGCCCUGCUGGCUUCCCCCUUCUCCUCCUGGCGGUUUAGCCCAGUCACCUCCUUGUCAGUGGGGCUGACACUGUCCCCAGACUAUCCUGGACUUGGAAAUCCAGCUUUUCAUUGCCACUUUGAUUUCUGCUCUCAAAGCCCCUGGAUGUGUGUCUGUCAAAUAUUUUGGGAGAUAGAUUUGGUAUCCCCGUUUUUAAAGGAUCCCAUGGACCCUUCUGGGCAGCAAGUAUAGCUUGCUGAGCCAUUCACGCACCAUCUCCCUUUUGCUGAGCCCAUCCUGAAUCCCACGCUAACCCUACUCUACGGCAAAACUCCCCCGUUCCCCUGGGCAGAGCUGGUCAUCCCUUUCUCCUCUGCUGUUCUGAAAUUUGCAUGCCUCGCCCUGCACCUUGGCGGUCAGGAUCCGAGUUUGGAAAUUAAUAGAGCCGUUUCCUAAAUCAGAGGUCAGCAAUCUACAGGCCUCAAGUAGAACCCUGUCACGUGGACGUUCUGUGGCCAUAGCACCAUGAGACACAGCCAUGCCUGCUUGUGUUGUCUGGUCGCUUCCCCACUGGGAUGUGCACUUCCAGCCCUUUCUAGAAUAGGUCUGUUGACCCUGCUCCAAACUAUGGGUGUUAGGAUCCCUGAUUUCAGUUCCUUGAAAGACCAAGGUGUGACAGCUCACGUGAAGUCAAGAACUAGCCCACGUGCUGGGGUUCAUCCAGUGUGAAAUUGCUCCGGACUAAUUCCAGUUUACGAAAGUUUGAGAGAGCGCAAGUGUGUGCAAGGGGGAGGGGGUAGAGAAUCCCAAGCAGGCUCUGCCCUGACAGCACAGAGCCUGAUGCAAGGACCCAUCUUCCUAACUGGGGGAUCGUGACCUGAGCCAAAAUCGAUUCGGAUGCUUAACCAACGGAGCCACCCAGGCACUGCUAAUUCUGGUUUAAAUGCUUUGAUUUCUUUGGCCUACCAAGAUGCUAAAUGCAAGAUCCAAGUGCCGCGUGGACCGGGCGUAUCAUGUCCUGGAAUCGCGGGGUUUGCUUUGGAAGAGGCUCCACCCACCCCAGUUCCUACCUCGCCCCACAACUUAAACUCCCUUCAUCAAAAUUAGUAUUCAAUUCACUGAUCUCCUCCCAACAAUCUUUUUUCCAAGAGCUGCUCGGAACUGAACUCAACUGCCUCCGUGCUCAGCAGUGCCUGGAAAUGUGUGUGUUUACUCACAAAUGAACCUUGGUGUGCUAACUCCCUGCUGGCCCAAAGGGUUGCUUUCACAUUCAGGACCAUCGUCUCAUGAGACUACAGUGAACUCUGAACUAGGGCUCCCACCCUGUCCUUCGUCCCUCGGGUCCGUGUUGGUUCCAGGAAGCUCUGUAAUCCCGGGAGAUGCACCAGCCGUGCUAAGGCUCUUGAAUGUGCCAGCUCUCAUGACUGUGGCCGCCUGCAGAUCGCCAACACCUGGCUGUGUCACAACAGCUGCGGGAAAGCUACUGGGCCCACGACUUCAGAUGAACAUCGGUGUAGCAAGAGGACAGAUAGGAAGAGGCCAGACAGAAGUCCCAGACUUUUUCACCUUGUGGCUCCUCCCCAGACCUCAUCACGUAUACAAGUGAUGGAACCCCACCUGUCGGGAGUUUGUGGGAGUGUGGCCACGUGUCCACCUGCUAACGUAUAGAAACCUAGGCUGUUAAAAAUCUGCUUUGAAAUUCCUUUAAGAAGGGGCGCCUGGGUGGCGCAGUCGGUUAAGCGUCCGACUUCAGCCAGGUCACGAUCUCGCGGUCCGUGAGUUCGAGCCCCGUGUCGGGCUCUGGGCUGAUGGCUCAGAGCCUGGAGCCUGUUUCCGAUUCUGUGUCUCCCUCUCUCUCUGCCCCUCCCCCGUUCAUGCUCUGUCUCUCUCUGUCCCAAAAAUAAAUAAAUGUCGAAAAAAAUUUUUUAAAAAUUUAAGAAAAAUACACUUCCCUGGGAAGUUGGCUGGUGACCCAGCAAUGCUGUCCUUUUUGCCCAAAGGGUUAAGCUUCUGUCUACACAGAACGUGUGCACGUUAUUCACAACUGAUGAGAUUUGGAAGUAACCUAGAUGCCCCUCCAUUGGUGCGUAUACUGUGGCCCCUCCAGACGAUGGAAUCUCCUGGGCUGAAAAGGAGUGAGUCUGCCCAGCCACACAGAGAAACUUGAAAUGCAUGUUACUCCGUGAAAAGCCAGUCUGAAGAGGCUGUGGGACUCCAGUGAUGGAACAUCCUUCAAAAGGCAGUGAAGCCCCUCCAAGAGUGACCCCUGAUGUAAACUCUGGAGGCUGGGUGGUGAUGUGUUAAUGUGGCCUUGUCAGUCAUAAGACGUCCCUCCUGGUGGGGUGUUGACUGGGGGGUGGCUGUGCAUGUGUGGGAGAAGGUAUAUGGGAACCCUGUGUACCUUCCCCUCUAUUUUGCUGUGAACCUCUGACUCUUGAUUUUGGCUCAGGUCAUGAUCUCACAGUUCCUGGGAUCAAGCCCUGUGUUGGGCUCUGUGCUGACAGUGUAGAGCCUGCUUGGGACCCCCUCUCUCUCUCCACCUUCCCCCAACCCCAUGCUUGUGAGCUGGCUCGCUCUCAAAAGUAAAAACUAGCAAGCUCUGUGCUCUGUGCAGCCCUGCCCCCAUGGCUGGAUGACCAUGUAGCGUGGCUGUGCUGGAGGGGACACCAGCCCUGGGCAAGGCAGUGACCUGCUAACAUGUAUCCUUCCUGUCGGCUGGUGCAGCUUCUGGAUACGAUCUGGUGGUGGAAACCAGGCCACCACGUACACAGCGUCUCCAUCAAGGGGUUCGUUCUUGUCACGGUGACCAGGAGCAAGAGGGGCUGUGCCUUGGCUGCAUGGAUACCAACAGCAACCCCUCUGACCUGUGUGCACAGAUCUAGAAUGUUCCUCUUCUACCUUCCACUUUGGAGAUUCCCCCAACCUCCUGUUGCCUGAAGAAAGUAGAAAUUGUUCGCUGACCCCGAAACGACACAAACAGCCCAACCCCGAGCUCCUUUCUGUUCUCUGAUCUACAAGUACCUGAGAAAGAAAAUCUGUUCGAGAGAAACUGAACGCAGCUGUGAACAUCUGCUAUCUGGUUCACUCUUCCCCCACAUGCCGGUGAGGGCUGCUCGGUGUUCCCUGGAGGACGCAGCCUCCUUCCCAGUCUGUGCUGGGGGUGCCCACCCACCCCCUCCUUCCCAGUCUGUGCUGGGGGUGCCCACCCACCCUUCCUGGCUCUCGAGGGCUGGUCACCCUCCCGGAACCUCCUUUCCCAGCUGCUGCUGCUCCUCCUGCUUGGUGUUCAGGAUGAAGAGAGGUUUCCAUCCGGGGCUCCUGCUGCACCUGCUGACAAUUGCACUCCAGGGAAUCCUCUUGCUGGGCUUGGAGCCAGCCUCGGGGAGGCGAACACCUGAUAACGUAGCUUCGGCACCCAGAUCCCCAGGACCUAGAAGCCAGGUCUGUCCCCCGCCUUGACCCAGGCUGAAUUGGUAGUCAUUUACUCACCAUGUGUAGUGAUCAGAGGUAGUUUGAGGAAACGUUACUAAUGAAAAGCAGUUUCCAAAAAAUGUUUUCACAAGAUUUCAGAACCUAUUUAUAUCCAACAUCCAUCGUUGGUUAUCUGGAGUUUUUAGUGCUCGGCAGUUGCUAAACAGCAAGUAAGAAAGUUGCUAAAGGCAACCUCAGGGCAAACGGGUAGUAAGGUGCAGGCAUUCAGGGCAACAGAAACCAGAGUGUGCAGCAGGUGGAAAUGCUCUCCAGGUUGGGGCCACGCCAUCCCACGUGCCUGAAAAGUCCCGCGAGGUAGGACUUGCGUUCUCACGGGGGGCGGUGGGUGUGUGCUGUUGUAAGAAUGCGGGGAGGGAGUCGGGGCUGGGGGGACCAUCUUCGGGUCCCCAGAGCUUCGGUAGCAGGCGCCUGUGACAGGUGCAAUGUAACAAGUGACACGCGCUUCUUCGAUGUCAGGUGGUGCUGUCUAGCUCGUGAGCCCGGGGAGCAGCAUCCCUGCUGCCGAGGGCAUUCGCUGCUCUGUCUCCCCACCUAGCGUGGUGUGUUUAUGGGGCUUGUCAAAUAUUCCGGAAUUCAGGAAACCAGUCUGUCAGAGCCCUUAACUAGUUGGGACACCCUUGUGCUUCUGGUAGUUUGUAGGCAAGACAGAUGGGCUCUUAGCUUUUUCUCACUCUUCAUCUUGGCGGUGUGUCUCGUUCAGGCACUGCCUCCCCCAAACCCUCCAGGCCCUAUGUCCGGGUAGAGAUUGAUGCUCAGAAACCUCAUUCAGUCUCUCAAAGGGUUUUGUUGUUCGAUGAUUCCUUGUAAGUAUAAAAUUAAGAUAGGAGUCCCCACCCUUCCCGAAAUUCCAGGCAUUUUUUUCCCCCUGGAGUGACGUAUGGAAAUCUGACUUGACAAAAGCCUUAAUUCCAUGGAUGCUUGAUUCUGCCUUUUCACCCUGGCCUAGUGGAGCAAAUGGAUGCCCAGAAUGGUACCGUGUGUGUGAGUGUGUGUGUGUGUGUGUGUGUGUGUGUGUGUGAGAGAGAGAGAGAGAGAGAGAGAGAGUGUGUGUGUGUGUGUGUGUGUGUGUGUGUGUGUGUGUGAGUGAGUGAGUGACGUGUUUGGCUGUGGGGGGAUUAAUUACUCCCGUGCACAUCUUUUGUUACGGCACGGGUAACUUCUGCCGUCCAGGGGCAAUGCUGUAGGGGACACUGGGGGGAGGGGAGAGGGGGUCUGGCUCAAUCUGGGGUAGAUGGCAGGGCUGAUGGCAGCCAGCAAGGAAAACUCCGGGUUUGUCCUAACCAGACUCUGGUGGAACAUGGAAGGUUUGAAUUUCUCUCCCUUCUGUGCCACCCGACAGCUGCUGCCUCCGGUCCCCUGGCAUCACUAGCAGUGUGAGUAUCCGGGCACCUUUCUCAGGAAGGUUCGGCACAGCCGCUGGCCUCUCCCUCUCCCUCAGCAGAUGGGCACAGGGGAGCAGGCUGAGUGCGAGGCUCCUGGUGUGAGGUCUCGGGGAGCAGAGAAGUCACUUUUGGGACCCUUGUUUUUCUCUGCACGGACAGGAGAGGAGGGUUCCAGGGAGAAGGGAGGCGGGAAUUAACAGGCAGGUUUAAACUUCCCAGACUGUCUCCAAGGUUGGAAAUGGUUGAAGGUGUUCUUAGGGAUAGAAAAGCCCUCACAUGGUGUGAGAAGCCCUGGGAAUCAGCAAUCUGGAAACAUCUGUCCUAGGUAAGCUGCCCCUGGGGAGGGGAGGGACUCCAUCAGUUCUCUCCACGGUGAGUGCCUGAACACCCAUCUGUGUCCCCCUUAAGUAUUAACCCCACCCCUUACCCUUCAAUUUGUCUCUGAAUUUGGCCACAAAGUUCUCCGGGUUUCUCUACUUGUAGCAUGUGUCAAUGUCCCUGUUAUAAGGCUGAAUAAUAAUCCAUAUGUAUAAACCACCAUACACGUUAAUUUUUGAGAGCAAUUUUAGGUUUACAGGAAAAUUGAGCCAGAUGGCAGAGAAUCCCCCCAGUACCCCUCCGUCCCCGCUUUCCUUGUUAACGUCUUGUCUGGAUGCGUCUAUUUGCUGCAACUGAUGAACCAGUGUUGACAGAGCAUUGACGGAAGUCCAAGGUUACAUUAGGGCUUGCCCUUGGUGUCCUACCUCCUAUGGAUUCUACCCAAUGCAGAAUGUCACGUGUCCCCCAGGAUGGUUUCGCUGCCCUGGGAACCACCCCCCUCCCCUGUGACACACCUCCCUUCCCUCCCAGCCCCUGGCAACUGCUUUUGCUGUUUUUACAGUUUUGCUUUUUCCAGGAUGUCAGAGAGUUGGGAACCUAUGAAACAUAGCCUUUUUAAACUGGCUUUGUUCACCUAACAAUACACACUUGAGGUUUCUUUCCCCUUGUCUGUGACUUGAUAGCUCAUUUUUAUUGCCGAACAAUCCAUUGUCUGGAUGUGCCACAGUGUUUCCUCAACCAUUUUUAAAGGCAAUGUUGGCUUCGAUUAGAAUAAUGGAUAGAGGGUGUGUGGGUCCCUGAAGUGGAAGGAGAGAGACCCAAUAAGAGGCCUUCGGGGCAUCUGGGUGGCUCAGUCUGUUGAGCAUCUGAAUCUUGAUCUCUGCUCAGGUCAUGAUCUCCUGGUUCGUGAGUUCAAGUCCUGUGUUGGGCACUGUGCUGAUGGCGUGGAGGCUGCUUGGGAUUCUCUCUUCCUCUCUCUGUCCCUCCCCAGCUCACACCUAUACUCCCUCUAAGUAAAUAUUUAAAAAAGUCUUCCAACUUGUCCAGGCAAGAGAUGUCCAUGGUUUGCUCUAGGGAGGUGGGAAAUGGACAGAUUCCAAAAGUAUGAAGGAUUAACGAAUGACUCUGGAAUUUAACGGUCCUUGGAAGCAAGAGACCCUGACUUCUGUCGAGGGAGAACAUCAUCCCAAAAGCAGAUGCUUCUCUCCUGGUCCUGGACGAUCACAGCGGCUGUCCUCCGUAGUCCUGGACAAUCAUGAUGGAUGUCCUCAAUGGUAGAGAUAAGGAGCCUCCAGGAUGCUGUGCUAGGAAGACAGUCACUGGUCACGAAACUGGAGGAGUCCCAGGUCAGCUCUGCCACUUUCCACAUGAUGCUCUAGAUCCUGGUUGCAAUUAGAAAGUGGAACUUUAAAAAAGUUCUGAUGUUAAGCUUCUACCUGUAAAAUACUGGUUUUGUCACCCAGGCGACUCUAGAGCAGUUCUGGAGAGGAGUCUUCUAGAAUCCCGAAAUAAGCAGUUGGCAUGACCUGUGGGCAUAAGGAAGGAGUUUGCUUUCCGAGGUUUGGAUCAGAAUGGGGGGAAAGAAGGUUAUGAACUUAAAUAGGAUUCUGGGAUCCUUGUAUUGCUAACAAGAUUCCUUUGGUCACAAGUGGGGAGGAACCAGCCAGGGCAGCUUAAGCGAAUACAGAGGUCUUUAAAAGCUGGGGGAAACCAGGGAUGGGUACACAGCGUUGCCUCCUUUCUUUGCUUGCUCUUUGUGUCCAAGACACAGGGUCACUGCCCCAACAGUGGUGGUUAAUCGUUCUGCAGUUUCCAGCUGACCCCCGACUCUAACCCAGACUCAAGGGAAGGUGACUUACCUGCCUAUGGCCAUGGGGUUGCAGGGCGGAUAGGCACACAACGAAAACCUAACUUGGGGGCACCUGGGUGGCUCAGUCCAUUGAGCAUCUGACUUCGGCUCAGGUCAUGAUCUCAGAGUUCAUGAGUUUGAGCCCCACAUCGGGUUCUGUGCUGACAGCUCUGAGCCUGGAGCUGGCUUUGGAUUCUGUGUCUCCCUCCCUCUCUCUGCUCCUCCCCCACUCACACAUGUGUGCAUGCCCUCAAAAAUAAUUGAAAAAAUAAACCUAACCAAAAAUACAUACCAGGCCAGGUGGCAAGAAGUCCAACUGAGGAAAAACGAGACAGGGCCCCUGGCAAUGGGUGGGUGGUGCUGAAUCUUAUGAGAGGAAGACCGUGCUUUUUAGUAUAAGUUGCAUGUAAUGGGGUAAGUGCACGCUGAAAAAAACCUGUUGUUCAUCCAAAACUCAAAAUUGGGGUCCUGAAUUUUUACUUGCUAACCUUGGCAACUUAUCCAAUUAAAAAAUCAAAGUAUAAAAACUCCACAGAACAUCCUAUUAGUUUCAAGUGUACAUCAUGGUGAUUCAAUUUUUUAUUCAAGUAGGAUCAUCUAACAUUUAGUUUCAGGUGUACGAUUUAGUGAUUCAACAAUUCUGUGCUCAGUGCUCAUCCGUGUAUGCUUCAUCCCUGUCACCUAUUUCGCCCAUCCCCCCCACCUCCCCUGUGGCAAAUACUAAAUUUAUAAGAGUCUGUUUUGUCUGUUUUCUUAAAUUCCACACCUAAGUGGAAUCCACGAUGUUGUUGCAGAUAAGAUUUCAUUUCUACAGCUGGGUGAUAUUCCAUCAAAUGGAUAUGCCACACUUCACCUAUCGAUGGACACUUGGGCUGCUUCUGUAUCUUGGCUAUUGUAAAUAAUAUUGCAAUAAACAUACAGAGCGUGUGAACAGGGGAGGAGCAGAGAGCAAGGGAGACAGAAUCCAAAGCAGGCUCCGAG